GCCUCCUCGCAGUGUUGCUGGGCCACGUCAGGAAGUGCUGGAGGACGUGGCAUUGCACCAACACCAGGCGGCCAGCCGUGUGGCUCAUCCCGCAAAUCAGGCUCUUCCUGUGCAUGGAGAUGGAGUCCCUCUGGAGGCAGCCCGUGGCCCUAUUCUCGGGCAGGUGGAGCAUGGAGAUGACUGGGAACUUCACUAGACACGCAUCCAUCCAGUUCAAGGGCUUGUCGCGCCGUGCACCAGCUUGCAGGAGAAAGCCCAACGCCUCGCCAAGCACGAAGGUCUCCCUUCCCGACUUGAUGAAGGCAGAGUAGCGGUUGAGGUUGCGGCUCACAGUGACCGAGCUCCUGCCCACGUGGGGACCCAGGGAGCCAUCAAGCUCCAGGUAUGCACCUCUGCCCAGUGCACCUGGAUCGUUCACCGUCAUGGAGCUGCCAUCCCACUUGUCGUCCCAGUCAUCAUCACUGCCCUAGCUGGCCUAGUUGCCACCAAGGAGCUGCUGAGGCCACGGCUUCAGGGCAUCCCUACCGCCUGGAAAUCCUGCGCCGGCUGCUGGAAGGCACUCUGUGGUGGCACCAGCUGCGGCUGCAGUAGCAGCUGGAAAGCACUGAGAGAUGGCUUCAAGGAGGCAGGCAGUGCACCGGGCAGGGCCUUGAAACCUCUGGGUGGUACAAUGGCCAUGGCACAGUGGGUCAAGGCACAGGGGCAGCCAUGGCACGCUGGGCCAGUCCAGGGUUGCAGACCACUUGCACUGCAGAUAUAAGGCCAGGGUUGCUGAGGCCAUGAGCCCCUGCGAGUCAGCCCUUGAUGUCCUGCUCACUACACAGGCUCAGCACUUCAUGUUCU
rnacentral:sRNA from 1 species